CAUAUGAAUAAUCUCAUAAAGAUGGUUGUAAAAAUAUAGUAUUAUAGAUCUAAAUUUGCAUAUUUAUUUUUUUUCAAGCAUAGGCUUUGAACAUUUAAAUUUGGAAAUAAAAGUGUUUUCUUUACGCUAAAUUUAGGGGUUUUAGUUCAUUCUUGUUUCAAACAAUACAUGAAGUUCCAAUGGGUGAUUUAAUUCCUACAGUUACGGAUGGGAGAGGAGUAAUAAUGCAAUACAAAAAUAGUGGGUCUGUUUUUGUGAAUAGCCAGUCAUUGUAUCCAAUGCAAAUUUGUAAAUGCAAAUUGUAUAUGUUUUUCUUAGAUUCAUCAUACACAAUUUAAAAUCAAAAGUAAAAUGGUCAAGAAAUAUAUUUUCAAAAUAAACUAGAAAACAAUCCUUAAUCCAGACCAUCUAUAAAUGGGUUCCACAAUUGUGGAAGGUAGCUAUUAAUGAAUAAUGGCAAAUAUGAC